AGUAUGAGUCGUGCGCUGCAAAGAAUCUUCUGUGGAGGCACCUGCACUUAGCUGAUCAGGUCACCAAGUUCCUUUGACAACCUCAAAUAAGACUACUACGGGCUCAUGUGAACAAGGAUUGACAGAAAGCAACAAGUGAUGUCUACGUUUCUGAAGGUUUCAUCCUACCCAACAGUGUGUGCAAAGUUCUUGGCCUCGGUCCAAAAUUUGCCCAAGCUACCAGCUGGACUAAACCGGAACUUCCCUGUCCGUCAUAAGUGUCCAGAAGAGCCCCGCAAGAAGAUGGUGUGAGGAUGAAUUCGGAAGGUUUAGAUGCCCUGUUGUGAUCAAUCGGCUGCAAGUCUUAAGGAGGCUGGUUACCCUAACAACGUGUUGGUGUCGGUGGCAGAAAGGCUGCUCAAACAGGAACUUUCGAGACGAUGCCUCCGUGCAAAUGCAAGAGCUAGCAGCCGUGACCAGGUGAAAACCGCUGAGAUUCCGUAUAUACGCCAGAUAUCACAUAGCCUGAAAAUGAUAGGAAGCCAAGGUAAUGUGCGGGUGUUUUUUCAGCUCCAAAUAAGCUAAGCACCUUGUGUAAAACCACUAACCCAAUAAGGACAAAUAAGCCGGUUUGUGGUAGCAUUGCAAAGAUGAGUUCGUCGGAUGCGGUGUAGGAGUGGUCUAUCAUAUUCCACUGUCAUGCGGUAGAUGCUACAUAGGCCAAACCGGAAGAUGCAUUAAUGAGAACUUAAGAGAGCACAGAAAUAUAGUGUAUCAGGUGACGAUUUUCUUGCUUUGCAUUGCAAUACAUGUCCAUGUCGCCCUCUUCUAAAUGACACCGCUAUUAUAUACAGGGAUAAGCGCAAGUGUGUAAGAUUAAUAGUAGAAACUGGGCAAAUCCUAUAGGCCGCUGACCAAUGUAUCAGCAAACUAUCACUAUCAUUGUCCGUGAGAAAGUUAGAUUAUUUUCGCAUGCCAUGAAAGUUGACUGCAUUUGCAAUGGGUCAUUUAGGUUUCUUGGUGUUUUUUUGCUGUACCGGUUUUAGACAGUGUGGCUCUACUCAGCCAUAUAUACAGUCGACUUCCAUUAAUUUGAUCAUCUUUCUGGGGUUUUACUUGCCAAAACCAGUUCUGAUUAUGAGGCAUGCCCGUUAAUUCGAUCCUGACGGGACCAUUGAGACUGGUCGAAUUAAACAAAAGGCAUAAAAAAACAUUGAAACGUGCCAUUGCUUCACUUUGCAGUAUUUGCCUUCAAAAUUAACUUUGGCCGCGUUUCAGUUUAGCGCUACACCUGCAACCAUCAACAGCUACGAACUCGCCCAGUUUACUAUUUUUCUUAAUGUUAGCUUCACUGCAAUACAGCCAUGUUAUGCAUAGAACCAUACCAAGCAGGGAAAGGUGCCAUUGUUGCAAAUCAGCACGUGUUCCCUAAAUUACAUACAUGCACAUGUGCAGUCUCCAGUCACAGUAUGAGCACCAAGACGCCUAAUAGGUGUAUGGGCAGGCCUUCAGAGUUUGAUAUAUUCACACUCUUUUGUUGGCUUUUAACAUCUCCUCGGCUUAACGCAGUUUUUUCAACUUACUGCCUUCCUUUUUGCUAGCUUUCCCAAAACACAUGAUUAUUUUCCACUUCUCUGUGCACGGCACAUUUACUUAAAGAAGACAUACUAGGCCUCAUUAACAGUCUCAUACACGAGACAUGCAUGGAAGGUGAAAAAAGGACUCAAAUCACCACUGAAAUGUAAGAAACAGCUCUGAAUGGCUGCCACUAUGCUUAUUAGGUGGCUAGGUUCUCCUACUGUGACAGGAAACUGCAUGCUUGUAUAAUCAAGGAACACGUGUGAUGUCCUGUGACAGUGGCCCUUUUCCAUUCUCAAUAUGCUUCACCACAGUAAGUUGCAUAUGCUUCAGCGCAUAACACGGCUGUAUUUGGGCGAAUCUGACCAGUGAGGUUCGAAUUAUCCGACGAAGGCCAAUUUUGAGAUUGAAAUAACAGAAGUUAGGGCUCACAGAAAUGUAUUUCAUCAGCAAACAACUUUAUUUAAAAGGGGUGACUGACUACUUCUAUAUCAUUAAUACAUAUUAAAAAUGACAAGAGGCCAAGCAUGCUGCUUUGAGGAACACUGGAAGUAACUGGCACUUCAUGGGAAGGGCAAUCGCUUAUGCUGACGAAUUGUUUGUGCUUAGUUAAGUAUGCAGAGAUUCAGCCAAUUAAGUAUGGCAGAAGAUUUGCGAUUUAGAGCUUCUCAAUUAAUUUAGAGUGUCAAACAAGCUCAAAUGCUUUUCUGUCUGCAAUACAGGAAUAUAACAUCAAUCUGGCCAGGUUUAUCAAGAAUGCUAGCAAAUGCUUGCAUGUAUAAACCCGUGAUCCAACUUCCAAUAAAUCGUUGAAAGUACCACUUGUGUGUGUCUCUUCUCUCGCCUGUCUUGUCUAUGGUUUCUGCGCUAAGCAUUAAAAAAAUGUUGUACCAACAAUGUUAAAAGUCCACCCUUGCAAUGUAAAGUUUCUUUUUUUUCAAGAAUACUCCACACUUCUCUGAAAUGUGAACAUAUUUGUUAUUCAAUAUUCAAUAGGUCAGUUUCGUCAAAUAUCCAUAUUUAAUUCUAUCCAGAAAUAUCAGGAUAUGAAAACCCCUACUACAUAUAGGCCUUGAGUGGAGCAGUAUGGCUUAAAUUCGUGUAACCAAUGCUACUUACAGGGAACAAGAGGUGAGUCUGGGGUUUUAUGUGCAAAAACCACGACAUAAUUAUGAGACACACCAUAGUGGGGGACUCCGAAUUAAUUUUGACCACCUGGAAUUCUUCAAUGUGCACUCAAUGCAUGGUAAACAGGUGUUCUUGCAUUUCUUCCCCGUGGAAAUGCAGCUGCUGCAGUCGGAAUUUGAUUCCGCGCCCUUGGGAUUAGCAGCACACAAUGCCAAAGGCAUUAUGGCGGGUUUUGAAACUCAAGAGGUGGA